rnacentral:lncRNA from 1 species
CUAUUCAUCAUGCCCGGGUGGCAGAGCACCUGGAGAAGAAGGCUAUCUAGAGGGCAACAGAGAAAUCAGGGUGACAUCUCAGGGACAUUUUUUAAGAACAAAGAUGAUUGUGUCAUGCUGCCAUGGGCCAGGCUGUCAAGGCUCUCUCCUCCUCCACCUUGAUCAGCAGUUUCUUCUUCAGAAAAUGCUCCUACUACAGCCAGAAGAACAAUGAGAAUCCUUGAAGAUGCACUGGUUCAGAAAAGAGUCUGAGGU